GGAGAUGUUAAUUACAUCUGAAUUCAUUACUGAAGUUCAUCUCAGGAAGAAGGGCUGCGGUCUGUGUCCAGUUCUAACAAGAAGGAGGGCUGGUACCCUUCAUAGAAACAGUUCAUCUAGCCUUCAGGAUGCUUCGUUUCUUUGGGAGCUAUUACCUCUUCAAAGUGAUGUGUCCCCUGUUUGAAUAGCUUGUAUGCAAGCAAAAGAUUCUGCUGUAAUCUAGCUCUGCCAGGUCAGAGACCCACCAGCUUCCACCGAGGGUCAGAUGGUGGUGAUUGGAGGUGGGGGAAGGGAAGGAGGUGGCAGAACCUUGGGUCCUUGAGCAGGAGAGCCUGAUCAUGUUUACAGAAGUAAGCACACUUUGCCUGAAGCAGUUCUCCUCUGAUCUAGCUCCCACUGCCUUGCUUGUCACCCUGUCUCACAUAGCUCUCCACUCCAGAUGAUGGAGCUAGAGAUGAUGGAGUUGGAGAUGACGGUCUGCUGCUCAUGCUGGAGUGCUCCCAGAUGAUGGAGCUGGAGAUGACGAUCUGCUGCUUAUGCUGAAGUGUUGGAGGAGUCUCAGUGCAUUUGUGCUCCCCAAUUUCCUUGGCCCUUGCUACUCCACAUGCUCUUAUCUCUCUAGCUCUGCUUCCC
rnacentral:lncRNA from 1 species